rnacentral:rRNA from 1 species
GAUGAACGCUGGCGGCGUGCCUAACACAUGCAAGUCGAACGGACAUUUUUUGGAAAGCUCUUCGGAACUGGAAUCGAAAUGUUAGUGGCGGACGGGUGAGUAACGCGUGAGCAAUCUGCCUUUCAGAGGGGGAUAACAGCCGGAAACGGCUGCUAAUACCGCAUAAUGCAUUGGAUUCGCAUGUUUCUGUUGCCAAAGAUUUAUCGCUCUGAGAUGGCCUCGCGUCUGAUUAGCUAGUUGGCGGGGUAACGGCCCACCAAGGCGACGAUCAGUAGCCGGACUGAGAGGUUGGCCGGCCACAUUGGGACUGAGACACGGCCCAG